rnacentral:tRNA from 1 species
GGUUCCUUAGCUGCAAUAGGUUAGAGCGUUCGAUUGUUAAUCGAGGGGUUGCUGGUUCAAGUCCAGCAGGAACCG